rnacentral:rRNA from 1 species
GAUGAACGCUGGCGGCGUGCUUAACACAUGCAAGUCGAACGAUGACCCGGAGCUUGCUCCGGCGAUUAGUGGCGAACGGGUGAGUAACACGUGAGCAAUCUGCCCCUGACUCUGGAAUAACACUUGGAAACAGGUGCUAAUACCGGAUACGACGCGCGAAGGCAUCUUCAGCGCGUGGAAAGAACUUCGGUCAGGGAUGAGCUCGCGGCCUAUCAGCUUGUUGGUGAGGUAAUGGCUCACCAAGGCGACGACGGGUAGCCGGCCUGAGAGGGUGACCGGCCACACUGGGACUGAGACACGGCCCAGACUCCUACGGGAGGCAGCAGUGGGGAAUAUUGCACAAUGGGCGCAAGCCUGAUGCAGCAACGCCGCGUGAGGGACGACGGCCUUCGGGUUGUAAACCUCUUUUAGCAGGGAAGAAGCGAAAGUGACGGUACCUGCAGAAAAAGCACCGGCUAACUACGUGCCAGCCGCCGCGGUAAAAC